rnacentral:rRNA from 1 species
AAAAAAAGUCUUUACGCGAGAGCAAUAGAGUUUGGCAUACAUCUAUCUCUUCCGAGCAACCUCUUUUGGAUGCUUAAGACCAGCCUUGCAGUAGGAUACCAUCUACUUUGGGUUCUUUAUUAUCUCCUUCGAGGGAUUUUUAGGAUCGUUCAAGCUAUAUAUAUUUAG